UUUCCGUAGGUGAACCUGCGGAAGGACCAUUACUGAGUGAGGGCCCCUCGGGGUCCAACCUCCCACCCGUGUUUAACGAACCUUGUUGCUUCGGCGGGCCCGCCUCACGGCCGCCGGGGGGCAUUUGCACCCGGGCCCGCGCCCGCCGAAGCCACCUGUGAACGCUGUCUGAAGUAUGCAGUCUGAGACAAUUAUUAAAUUAAUUAAAACUUUCAACAACGGAUCUCUUGGUUCCG
rnacentral:misc_RNA from 1 species